ensembl:processed_transcript Gm16565 predicted gene 16565
ACCCGAAACCAGUUUGUGGAGGCCAGAGAAUUCAGCCCCUUCAGGGGACACGCAGAGGCCUGUAGAGAAUAGUGAUGACAGUUACGACCUCCCCUGGAGUAUGUGAAGGGAGCCGACUUUCCCCAGCAUCCUCGGUAUACAGACGUAUGAUGCAGAAAAACUGCCAGGAAGCAAGCUGUCCAUUCUUCAAUACACAGCUGCGUGGGUAAAAUGGAUAAAAGCUACGCAGGAAGUUGGACAUGGUCAGCAAGUUCGGGACAAAGAGCCGGUUAGUGGAAUCCUUUCUCACCCAAGCCUGCCACUCUACACCCCAAGUCCUUCCGCGACCGUGAUGCACCACCACCCAGAACACGUGACUUCCGGUCUUGAGUUGGCCACUUGCCAGCUUUGGGAAUAGUAG